CCGCUGCCGCCGCCUGGACAGACUUGGGUGUCUCUGCCAGUCACUGGCUGUGCAGCUGCAGGAUGGCCGAGUCAGGAUCUCCGUGGACUUUGGGCUCUGAGACUUAGUUGAAAAGGGCAAAAGAAGAACAACAGUUGCUUUGUCGGGACCCACGGCCUGUUCUAGGGACAAUCUUCAGCUCAAGAAUGGGGACCGGAUCUGUUCCUUGGCUCUGAUUCUCACUCUGUGGAGUUGAUCUAGUCACAUCAUCUCUGAAUCUCAUUGGAUAGAUGAAGAUAACAACCUGCCUGAGGCUUUGGGGAAAGAAGUAGAUGAGAUUAUUAUGUAUGUGUAGUCAAGAAAGUAUCCCACCCACGGCAGAAACUAACACCUCUAACAAGCACAAUGACCAGGCGUCGGAUGGAAAAGGGAAGAUGGUCUCCUCCUGUGGAAGGUAACUGUUCCCAGCAUCUAAGGACUGUCUCUACUCGUGUGUCAUGUUGAAUCUGUGUUGAAUAGAACCCUGGAGUGGCACAGACUCUGGACCUCUCUAUCCACUGCCCAGACCACAGGCAUGCCCCAUUCAUUCCCAAAGCACACCUCUCUAGACAGCUCCUCAGUGUGGCCCCAGUGCCACCACCCUAGAAGAUAUUCUUCAAGAGAAGAAUUUAGAGUUCAAAUAUUCGCCAACGAUGUCUCCUGUUCUAGAGCUGCCCCCUCCCACAGAGAUGUUCUAAGUGUCUACUGCCAUAAAGACCCUGGGAAGUCUGAUAGCAAAACAACAAACAAAAUGUGAUAGUUCCUGUUACCUGGACUCGAAGCUCUGCAGACUCAUUUGAC